GCUGUCAGAGACAUAUCCAUAGGUCAAGUGGACCAAGUAAGAAAAACCAGGGGGGAUGGAAAGGGGCUAUGAACUUAAAUUACAGAGAUCGUCAGCAAGGCUUGCACAUUGGCAGAGUUUGCCAGUAAAAAAAAAAUUUUUUUCUGUAGUGAAGGGAGUGGGGUGGGGUCAUCUGGGACCACUUUGAAGAACAGAAACAAGGAAUUGGGAGUGGGUGAAGUUGUAUAGGAAGACAAGGGUAUUAUUUUGAAGAAGCACAUUUGAAGAGCAUUUAAAGUGAAUGUGAAGCAAGAAAGCUUUACAUCUCAGGCAGCGAUGGAACACACCAAAAAAAAAAAAAAAAAAAGGAAAUGAAUUUGGG